rfam:Salmo salar isolate Sally breed double haploid chromosome ssa13, whole genome shotgun sequence.
AAAGAGCCAGCCGUAAGUCGCUCUGGAUAAGAGCGUCUGCUAAAUGACGUAAA